rnacentral:lncRNA from 1 species
UUGUUAUUGCAGGUCCACCAUAUACAUUGGCUAUUCCUCCUAAGCCACCAGAUUUUUUACUAAAGGGCAAGUCCACUUGCCACUUGCUUCUUCCUGUUACGUGUACCUCCUCCAAAACCACCAGACAUGAAAGCUACACCUUAGCCCUCGGGUGUGUUCCUUCCUUUUCUUUAUGCUUAUUGUUAUACAUUGCGGACAAUGUCUGUUUUAAGUGUGGGGGGGACAUUUAUUUAUUU